UUGGAAUUCAGUUUUAGUAGUGUUUAUUGACCAAAAUACAUAAUAUAUGUACAUGUAGUGACAUUACAUUUAAACAAAAUAAGUUAAACAAUAUGACAAGGAAGAGUCAGAACCAUAUUUUUUAAUACAUGUCAUGUUAUAAGAAAAUUAGAUAUAUCAGGUAUGGCAUUCUUAUUACUUAUUUUUUUAGAUAACUCUGAACACUGUUUAAAAAUUAAAUAAAUAACUGGAAAAAACUGUCCCAUUGUGGCAGUGUAGGUAUGGAGGGAAAAGGAAAAAUGGGACAGAGUAUCAACAUCUAAACUUGCCUGGUAAGACACAAAUCAGAGGAUUUUACUGCAGCGGAGAGGCAGAGGAAAGGAUCUGAUGUCAUGUGACUGCAGAAGAGAUGAAAGCAGAAUGACAGAAUUAAAGUGGUUAUUUUUUCAGGAGAAAGUUCUUGAAGGAAACUGUUUAAAGGGUCUAUUAGUAAAGGAUAAAGUGCAAGCAGAGGUUCAAAGAGUCACUGUCAGAACCAAGCAUCAACAUCCAAAUGGAUUUUUGAGACAACUCUGUCAGUUUAUGUUUUAUAUAGACAAAAACAGCUGCAAUAUUCUUCUAAAUAUCUUCUUCUGUGAUCGUUUGUCUCAUAUAGGUUUGGAACGACCAGUAAAAGAUGACAGUUCAACAUGCCCCUGAAAUUACAAAUUGAAUAGAAAAUGCAUGAUUUCCUUCUUCCCAUUCAGAAUACAACCAAAUGUUUUACUGAGUCAUGCCUGCAGAUAGAUUUUCCUUUUUUUUUCAUAAAUUUGUCAUAUAAGUUGUCCCAUCAGUAUGUUUUAUUUAUAUCUCUUCUUUAUUAUUUACUUGUUUAAACCACAUAAAGAUUUUGACUUUUCUUUGCACAUUCCAUCGUAGGAUGCAUAAUGACCUGGAAAAUAAGUAAAAUGGGUAUUAAAUCAGUAAAACACACACACACACACACAAAUCAUUUUAUAAAUUUUACUGACUGGCAUUACUUCCUCUUUGCCACGGCGAACAGGAAAGGUGAACUGUGUAGGUGCACUCUAAUUAGUGCUUGUCACACAGAUCUCGGGUGUCAUGCACACAAUAAGAUGCAAGAAAAGGAGGAUGAACUGAUCGCUGAAUAGCACAUUACACAUUAGAGGGUAUGGGAGUAAGAAGGAAUUACUUUUGUGACAUUCAUGAAGGCAUUUGGACAUAACAGGGUGGGGUUCAGAACUUUACUGAUGGCUUCUUUUAAUUAUAUUUCCUUUUAUUAUUAUCAAGCAGUCUCAUCCGGUCUUCCUGUUUUAAAUCAUUAACUUGAUUUAUUAAAAAGCAUUUAAACAUUCUAAAGUCAAAAUAUUCUACAUUCCAUAGUUGAUCACAUUUUAAUUUUUUUAAAAGCAUUUUAUAUUCCUUUUUCUAUUAAAGUCAUGGUCACUGAGCCCCCAGAGUGCAUCGUUACCAGACAGUGUUAGAACAUCAGUGAACAGCCAAGCACUGCCAGGUGCACGCCCUGGUCUGCCUCCUUGGAAACCAUGACUUUUGAGACGUCUCCAUGACCUGGGAGAGUUUGACUAAUUGGUUGCACCUUCAUCAAAACAAAAUUGCGUCUACAGCCUCCCAAUCCCAUUACAGCCACACAACAUAGAUGGUAAGGAAAGCGCUUAGUCAUGCUAAUCAAAAUGGCUGAUCUUUGUCACCUAUACCUGAGUGUGCACCUGACUGACCCCUCACCUGUACAAUAGAUUCGAUAAGAUUCGAUUAGAUAACUCGCUUACUUCUGAAACCAAGCUAAGUGUGUUUUUACAUUUUGCCUCUAUUGUUGUUUAAUGCCAAAACUCACAGUAACAUUAAAGAUAUCAAUUUUAUCAGGCCAUAUUUUCUCUGCCCUGUACCUUUUUAUUACAACAAGAAAAAUAUUUAAUUUUAAUACGGGAAAAAUAGUUUGUAUGAGAUUGUAUCAGAGCAUGGGUCCAUGUGUCAAUCAAUUUUAAAAGUCAUUCAUCAAUUUCUCACAUCCAAGUCUAAUUCAUGUUUAAUUUAUAUAAUACAACUCUAUAUUAUAACAUUAAAAA
ensembl:lncRNA